rnacentral:rRNA from 1 species
GACGAACGCUGGCGGCGCGCUUAACACAUGCAAGUCGAACGGAGCAUUUGAGACGGAAGCCUUCGGGUGGAAGACUUAAAUACUUAGUGGCGGACGGGUGAGUAACACGUGAGGAACCUGCCUUUCAGAGGGGGACAACAGUUGGAAACGACUGCUAAUACCGCAUGACGCAUAGGUAUCGCAUGGUACUUAUGCCAAAGAUUUAUCGCUGAAAGAUGGCCUCGCGUCUGAUUAGCUAGUUGGUGAGGUAAACGGGCCCACCAAGGCGACGAUCAGUAGCCGGACUGAGAGGUUGACCGGCCACAUUGGGACUGAGACACGGCCCAGACUCCUACGGGAGGCAGCAGUGGGGGAUAUUGNACAAUGGAGGAAACUCUGAUGCAGCAACG